GACGAACGCUGGCGGCGUGCUUAACACAUGCAAGUCGAACGAUGAAGCUCUAGCUUGCUGGGGUGGAUUAGUGGCGAACGGGUGAGUAACACGUGAGUAACCUGCCCUUUACUUCGGGAUAAGCUUGGGAAACUGGGUCUAAUACCGGAUAUUCUGCAUGGUCGGAUGGUUGUGUAGGAAAGAUUUUUUGGUAAGGGAUGGGCUCGCGGCCUAUCAGUUUGUUGGUGGGGUGAUGGCCUACCAAGACGACGACGGGUAGCCGGCCUGAGAGGGCGACCGGCCACACUGGGACUGAGACACGGCCCAGACUCCUACGGGAGGCAGCAGUGGGGAAUAUUGCACAAUGGGGGAAACCCUGAUGCAGCGACGCCGCGUGGGGGAUGACGGCCUUCGGGUUGUAAACCUCUUUCAGUAGGGAAGAAGCGAAAGUGACGGUACCUGCAGAAGAAGUACCGGCUAACUACGUGCCAGCAGCCGCGGUAAUACGUAGGGUACUAGCGUUGUCCGGAAUUAUUGGGCGUAAAGAGCUCGUAGGUGGUUUGUCGCGUCUGCUGUGGAAACGUGCCGCUUAACGGUGCGCGUGCAGUGGGUACGGGCGGACUAGAGUGCAGUAGGGGAGUCUGGAAUUCCUGGUGUAGCGGUGAAAUGCGCAGAUAUCAGGAGGAACACCGGUGGCGAAGGCGGGACUCUGGGCUGUUACUGACGCUGAGGAGCGAAAGCAUGGGGGAGCGAACAGG
rnacentral:rRNA from 1 species